rnacentral:rRNA from 1 species
UACGUAGGGUGCGAGCGUUAAUCGGAAUUACUGGGCGUAAAGUGUGCGCAGGCGGCCGAGCAAGUCGAGUGUGAAAGCCCCGAGCUUAACUUGGGAACUGCGCUCGAAACUACUUGGCUAGAGUGUGGCAGAGGGAGGUGGAAUUCCACGUGUAGCGGUGAAAUGCGUAGAGAUGUGGAGGAACUCCGGUGGCGAAGGCGAGGUGCUGGACCCUUUCUGACGCUGAGGCGCGAAAGCCAGGGGAGCAAACGGG